GUAGGGCGCGAGCGUUGUCCGGAAUUAUUGGGCGUAAAGAGCUCGUAGGCGGCUUGUCACGUCGGGUGUGAAAGACCGGGGCUUAACUCCGGUUCUGCAUUCGAUACGGGCUAGCUAGAGUGUGGUAGGGGAGAUCGGAAUUCCUGGUGUAGCGGUGAAAUGCGCAGAUAUCAGGAGGAACACCGGUGGCGAAGGCGGAUCUCUGGGCCAUUACUGACGCUGAGGAGCGAAAGCGUGGGGAGCGAACAGGAUUAGAUACCCUGGUAGUCCACGCCGUAAACGGUGGGAACUAGGUGUUGGCGACAUUCCACGUCGUCGGUGCCGCAGCUAACGCAUUAAGUUCCCCGCCUGGGGAGUACGGCCGCAAGGCUAAA
rnacentral:rRNA from 1 species